AGACUCAUGACUUCAUCCUGGAAUUUAAAGGUGCAUAGAAUCAUCAUUACAUUUGCAUGAUGAAAGCUGCUGCAAAACACUAAAAUUCAAGUGAACAGAAGUACUCGUGUGGAUGGAUCUGAAGACGAGUUAAUAGAAAGGAAAACUGUCAGCAAGAACCACAUGGCCCACGGGGGAACUUCACCGCCAGCACCCUAAAUUCCGGCGGCCGUUAAUUGAAAAUCAUGUCAAGU